AAAAUAUGCAACCAGUGAUCAGUUGAAUUGAUACCUUUUCAUCUACCAGAAGAUUUAAGGAGGUUAUUGCUUGGAAAACUGUUCGAGCUCCCGGGCUGGCAUGCACUGCAGGUACAGUGAAAUCAAUUAUGCAGGUUCUUGAAGAAAGUCGUGGAUGACAACAAUGUAUGAUUUACCAGACCAAGGGAUCCCAAUGUUUUUUGAUGGCUCCAGCUACUCAGCUUACUGUGAGAGAGUUAACACCUUAUUGACAUAUCUUUCAU